UACAGGGGAUGCAAGCGUUAUUCGGAAUUAUUUGGCGUAAAGCGUUUGUAGGUUGAAAAUCAAAUCUUUUGUAAAAUCUUUGAGCUCAACUUAAAGGCUGCAAAUUAGACACUAAUUUUCUUGAGAUGACAAAAGGCAAAGGGGAUUUCCAGUGGAGUGGUGAAAUAUUUUGAGAUUGGAAGGAACACCGACAGCGAAAGCACUUUGCUUGGGUUAUACUGACACUGAGAAACGAAAGCGAGGGUAGCGAGCAGG
rnacentral:rRNA from 1 species